rnacentral:rRNA from 1 species
UACGGAGGGUGCAAGCGUUGUCCGGAUUUAUUGGGUUUAAAGGGUGCGUAGGCGGCUAAUUAAGUCAGCGGUGAAAUUCCACAGCUCAACUGUGGAACUGCCAUUGAUACUGGUUGGCUUGAGUACAGAUGAGGUAGGCGGAAUUGACGGUGUAGCGGUGAAAUGCUUAGAUAUCGUCAAGAACACCUAUUGCGAAGGCAGCUUACUAAGCUUUAACUGACGCUGAUGCACGAAAGUGUGGGGAUCAAACAGG